ensembl:lncRNA novel transcript
AUCCAAGUCGGCUGAAUUUCUGAUGGUUAAAGAAGAUAGAGAAGCUACAGAAGGCACUGGAAAUCCAGCUUUUAACAUGAGCAGUCCAGAUCUCUCAGCAUGUCAGACUGCAGAAAAGAAAGUUAUUAGACACGACAUGCCGGAUCGCACCCUUGCAGCUCACCAACAAAAAUUCAGGCUGCCAGCCUCUGCAGAACCAAAAGGAAAUGAAUACGGCAGAAAUUACUUUGACCCACUGAUGGAUGAGGAAAUAAACCCAAGGCAGUGUGCGACGGAGGUCAGCAGAGAAGGUGCUCCCUCAAAGGAAAAAUGGAGCAUUCCUAAAAAAAUCGGUCCCUGUUCUAUGGACUAUGAUCCCAAUCUCUUAGAAGAAGACGAUGAACUACACUCUCAGGGAGAUAGCCUGACGGAUCAUUCUGUGAAAGGAAAAUCAACUGUUUGGAGAAUUGGAGAAGCUGAAGAUUAUUCACAGGACAUAUCUUACUUGGAGGAACUGGAGGAACACCGAUUUUCUGUUUGCUGUUCUUCAGUUGCUGAUAGUAGAUAUGGAGACUUCUUC